rnacentral:tRNA from 1 species
AAGAAAGUGGCAGAGUGGUUAUGCGGUUGACUUGAAAUCAUCCAAUGUGGGUUCAAUUCCCCCCUUUCUUG